UGUCCUUCCCCGAGUUCAAUCUUUGGUUCAUGUUGUUGCUUCUAGAUAAGAUGAUAGUUCGAUCUUCGGUUCAUACUGCUGCUUCUGGAUAAGAUGAUAUUCAUUCAUAGUUUUCCUCUUGAAUUGUCUAUGUGCCCAGGUCUUUUUUUCUUUCUCAAACAAACAUGAUAUGCGCAUUGAUCAGGUAAAAUUCCAUAUAAGGUGGGUUUCAAUUGAUUUUAUCUAAUUUCUAUGAAUUUAGCAUGACCUUUUGAGCUAUCAGUCUUGCUGUACAGGAAGCAGCAAGCAUAUAAAGGAUAUUUGUUAUUGUUUUGUUCUCCGUGAAAUUUCCAUGAAUUAUUUUGUUUACAGUGGAAUUGUUUGGUAGUUCCAUUAAUUUCCAAGUGUCCCAACCAUAGACAGGAAGCAGCAGGCAGAGCUCCAUUUGUUUUGAGAUGAAGUUGUAUUUAAUCUUUGGUCUUGUGUUUUCUUUUGUAUACAUGCUUGUGGAAAUGUUCAAAUAUAGCUGGCCAAGAUAUACAGGAUGAUCAAUUACAUCUUACCUGACCUACUGUCAUGGCACGGUAAACUGAAGCCACAGUAAACUGAGUCCACAAAGUUCAGUUAUUAGUGUUUAAGCAUGAAAGGACAAAUUGGACAGAGCGGCCAGGUAACCAAGUUCCUAGCUGCCGCAAUUGAAUCGUCGAAAUAUUUUGGGUGAUGGAAACAAAUAUGGAGGCCAUGUGUGGUGAAUGCAUCUCAUAGAUUGGAUGGAUAAUUGGGGUGGUGGAAACAUAUAUUUAGGUCAUGUGUGGUGAAUGCAUUCGUAGAAUCAUUACAUGGAAGCCUUAUGUUAUUUACAACUUCACGGGUGUUGCUAUGUUCUUGGUCAGCUAUAGAGUUCAUGCUUCCAAUAAAUUUUUUACUGUACUGUCCACGCGAUGCAGAUGCAACAACCUAUUGUUUAUUCGUGUUUAGUCUCUAACACAUGGAAUUAUGUAUUUCGUGUCUGAAUUCAUUGUGCAUAUUUAUUUCAAUCACGAUAUAUGGUUGACAAUUUAAG